rnacentral:rRNA from 1 species
UGCCUAAUACAUGCAAGUCGAACGAGGAGUUUUUGUAGCAAUACGGAAACUUCCUAGUGGCGAAUGGAUGAGUAACGCGUUGGUGACCUGCCCCAAAGAGAGGAAUAACUCCGGGAAACUGGAGCUAAUACCUCAUGUGGUUACCAGGGUUAGAGACCUGGUAUCUGAAGGAGUAAUCCGCUUUGGGAGGGACCUGCGUCCCAUCAGCUAGUUGGUAGGGUAACGGCCUACCAAGGCUACGACGGGUAGGGGGCCUGAGAGGGUGGCCCCCCACACUGGAACUGAAACACGGUCCAGACACCUACGGGUGGCAGCAGUAGGGAAUAUUGCACAAUGGGCGAAAGCCUGAUGCAGCAACGCCGCGUGAACGAUGAAGACCUUCGGGUUGUAAAGUUCUUUUCUGAAGGACGAGGAAGGACGGUACUUCAGGAAUAAGGAUCGGCUAACUACGUGCCAGCAGCCGCGGUAAUACGUAGGAUCCGAGCGUUAUCCGAAUUUACUGGGCGUAAAGCGCGUGCAGGCGGUUUGGUAAGUUGGAUGUGAAAGCUCCCGGCUCAACUGGGAGAGGCCGUUCAAUACUGCCAGACUUGAGGACGGUAGAGGGAGGUAGAAUUCCCGGUGUAGUAGUGAAAUGCGUAGAUAUCGGGAGGAAUACCAGUGGCGAAGGCGGCCUCCUGGACCGUUCCUGACGCUCAGACGCGAAAGCUAGGGGAGCGAACGGGAUUAGAAACCCCGGUAGUCCUAGCUGUAAACGAUGCGAACUUGGUGUUGGUGGGGUAAAAUCCGCCGGUGCCGAAGCUAACGCGAUAAGUUCGCCGCCUGGGGACUACGGCCGCAAGGUUAAAACUCAAAGGAAUUGACGGGGCCCCGCACAAGCAGCGGAGCGUGUGGUUUAAUUCGUCUACGCGAAAAACCUUACCCGGGUUUGACAUAUAGGUAGUAGGGAUUCGAGAGAUGACCGACCCUUCGGGGAGCCUAUACAGGUGCUGCAUGGCUGUCGUCAGCUCGUGCCGUGAGGUGUCCGGUUAAGUCCGGUAACGAGCGCAACCCUCGCUGUAUGUUACAAGUGUCAUACAGGACUGCCGGUAUCAAGCCGGAGGAAGGCGGGGAUGACGUCAAGUCAGCAUGGCCUUUAUAUCCGGGGCUACACACACGCUACAAUGGCCAAUACAAUGGGUCGCAAAGCCGCGAGGUGGAGCCAAUCCCCAAAAUUGGUCUCAGUUCAGACUGCAGGCUGCAACCCGCCUGCACGAAGCCGGAGUUGCUAGUAAACGCGCGUCAGCAUUAGUGCGUUGAAUACGUUCCCGGGGCUUGUACACACCGCCCGUCACGUCAUGGGAGCUGGUAACACCUGAAGCCGGUAUCCUAACCCGUAAGGGAGGGAGCUGUCGAAGGUGGGACUGGUGACUGGGACGAAGUCGUAACAAGGUA